UCCCUGGAGGACUAGUGGUUAUGCCUCGGCGCUCUCACCUGCGCGGCACGGGUUCAAUUCCCGGCCGGGGAA